GAUUCGCCAAAAUCUUGAGUAAA
rnacentral:snRNA from 1 species